rnacentral:tRNA from 1 species
GGAGAGUGAUGGGUGCCUGGUGGUCCCCACGGUCUUCAAAACCGUCGUCGGCUCGCUUUGCGGGUCGAGGUGUGUUCGAUUCGCACCCUCUCCGCCA